rnacentral:rRNA from 1 species
ACGGGAGGCAGCAGUGGGGAAUAUUGCACAAUGGGGGAAAUCCUGAUGCAGCGAUGCCGCGUGGAGGAAGAAGGUUUUCGGAUUGUAAACUCCUGUCUUAAGGGACGAUAAUGACGGUACCUUAGGAGGAAGCUCCGGCUAACUACGUGCCAGCAGCCGCGGUAAUACGUAGGGAGCGAGCGUUGUCCGGAAUUACUGGGUGUAAAGGGAGCGUAGGCGGGAUGGCAAGUCAGAUGUGAAAACUAUGGGCUUAACCCAUAGACUGCAUUUGAAACUGUCGUUCUUGAGUGAAGUAGAGGUAAGCGGAAUUCCUGGUGUAGCGGUGAAAUGCGUAGAUAUCAGGAGGAACAUCGGUGGCGAAGGCGGCUUACUGGGCUUUUACUGACGCUGAGGCUCGAAAGCGUGGGGAGCAAACAGGAUUAGAUACCCUGGUA